rnacentral:lncRNA from 1 species
GAGCGGCCCUUGAAUAAACUUGCCACCCUGGUGAGGAAGCUGCAGAGAGCACGGAAUGGGCUGCCAAAGAAGGGGAAUGAGAUCAACUACUCCAAAAAGAAUAAGGAAAAGGGAAUCCUCCCCAUCCCUGGAUGAGAUUUGCACAAUGCUCACACUCAAAGAAGGCACAACGGAGAAUUUUGUACACUCCCUGGUACUAUCCUUCCCAGACAGAAGCAUCUUGAGCAUCGCCAUUUUCCACAUCUACCAGUGGUUCAACCUCAUUCCAGCAUGUCCUGGGCCAGCAGUUAAAUACUCCAGCUCUCCAAAUAGACACCGAGCCCACUCCAGCCCCAGAGGCUUCCUGCCACCCCAAGAACCAGCUGAUGGAGGAGGAGCCUGA